GGCAGAGAGAGUGGGGGAGCGAGUCAGAGAGAAGGAGGGAAGAGAGGAAACAGCUCCUCUCCUGUUAAAGGAUGUCAAGUCUUCAGCUGAGAGCUUGUUGAGGAGCACUGAUGCAUCCAUCCUUCCUGCUCGUCCAGAUGAAUCUCACCACUGCGACUCCACAGCCUCGGCACAGCCUUGUAGGUGGAGGAGACGAGGAGCUGCUCUGUGCCAUGAAGACGAAGGUGAAAGUGUUCUCCUGCCCCAGGCUGAGUGGAGUGCACUGCAUACAAAGGUAGACUGAUGUUCAUAUUCUACUAUGGACGGUGUGUGGUACAGACGGACAUCGACUGGAACGGAACAGGCCACGAGGACCAUUCAGCUCUACCAUAGGGCCCCGCAAAAUCAUUUGGAAGAAGUUGUUUCAGUGACCAACAUGUCAGAAAUUAGCACAUUAACAGGUCACAAGAUGUGCUGGGCUCACCCUCCAUGAAUCCCAAGAAUCCCAUCAUGCCCUAGGAGUUUAAAAGCUCCAAUCCAGCUCGAACUCAACCUCACAUGACUCCAGUUCCCAUCACCAACUUGACUCCAGUCCCUUGUUGUUCAGUCCUGCUGUUUCCACCCAGCGGUUUAGUUGUGACAGUGGCUUUCAAUGAGAAUCCAGUUGGCCUUCCCUCUCUUGUACCCCUCAUUAACGUUGGCCCUCAUGUCAGAGCCCUGUGGGCCGCAGAGGGGAAGGCUCUCAUGGUGUCUCUGCUGUACAGAGAGCCAGGUCUGAUCCCAGCCAUGAGGAGCCCACAGGCGGAGAGCCCUGUUUAAAAUUCCGCUCUGCAACAUGUCGGCUUUCCAAUCCACCGGGAUUGCAUUAUUAAACUUACACAAGCUCAUUUCCAUACAAAGCAGGAUAUCAGCGGCAGACAGUCAUGCAUAUUUAUCGCCGUGUGCCUGGCUUACGCACGAAUACACUCGCACAAUAACCCACAUGCAGGCAUAACUUAGUCGUGGUACAUAAGUGAGGGAGGAAACUGAGGUGCAUUCCUAAUGGUUUGAGCAUGAGAGGUCCUGAGUGAGGAUGGUCAGUGAAAUCUACAUGUCAAUCACCUGAUAAACCGACACAUAAACAGGCAGUUUCUCACACGCAAACAGGGGAGAUGAGAUGAGUUACACUUUGAGAUCUGACGAGAAGUGUAUUACUGAUAAUCUACACGCAGAGUCAUGCACACACGGUCCAGCCAAGCCUCCACCUGUCCAUGUUGACUGUUCCCUGCUAGUAGCUAGUUCCCUUAAUGUCCCUGUCUCUGUGUCUCCCCCCGUCCCUACGUCCCUGCUGCCCCACUGUUCUUCUCCUCCUCCACUAGUUUCCGAGCACCGGUUUCUCCUCUCCUCCUCCCCCUCUUUUCUUCCUUGCCCUCCUUCAGGUGAUGUCCGUCCCUCCUCCUCCUCCUCCUGUGAGAUUGCUGCUGUGUCUUAUGGCUUUUUAUUCCUACGUGAGGGUAGAUGUGUUCAUGUAGGGAUAGAAGCCACUAAACACACGGUGAGAGGUCAACGUGCAGGCCAGUAGAGCCAAAGCUUCCUUUUCCACACAGAGCAAAUAGCCUGCGGUGACGUUACAGUGGAGUUUACUGUCUAACUCUAGGCCUACAUGCACCCGUUACUUUUAAACGGGCCUCCCGGGUGGCGCAGUGGUCUAAGGCUGUGCCACCAGAGAUUCUGGGUUCGAGCCCAGGCUUUGUCGCAGCUGGACGCAACCGGGAGGUCCAUGGGGCGACGCACAAUUGGCCCAGCGUUGUCCGGGUUAGGGAGGGUUUGGCCGGCAGGGAUAUCCUUGUCUCAUCGUGCACUUGUGACUCCUGUGGCGGGCCGGGCGCAGUGCACGCUGACCAGGUUGCCAGGUGUACGCCAGGUGUACGGUGUUUCCUCCGACACAUUGGUGCGGCUCUCUUCCUGGUUGGAUGUGCAUUGUGUCAAGAAGCAGUGCGGCUUGGUUGGGUUGUGUUUCGGAGGACGCAACCCCAAAUAGGAUGAACAUUAGAAUACUGAGAUGAAUCAUUGUAAAGUGUGAAAUGUUAUUCUAUGUGCUUCAUAAAACCUACUUCUAGCUGCCAUCAUAGCUGAAGUGUAAUAAUUCAACACCCUCACUAAUGUACAUGAAUGUUCACACUAUAAAUCUACAUCACAACACAUGAUAGGAGCAUCAAUUAUUGACAGUGUUUUCUAUAGACCUCCAAGCUUUCAGGGAGAAUGUGUUGGAAUAGAUUACUGCCAAUGGAUUCACUGCCUGAGGCUGCGUGUGGCUGUCUGUUUUCCUGAGUUGAGUUGAUGCAUUAAUAUAAAGUCUUUGUAUGUAUAUACAUGCAUCUCUGUCUUUUAAGAAUCUAUCUCCUGGCAGAUUUUCCUGUAAUAAAUAAUGCUCUUUUGUGUUGUUGCCGUUCUUCAUUUGUUUUCAUAUUUUCAAUGGUGCGAAUUGAUGAAUAAAUGAUGCAUUCAGCCAA